CAUCUACUGAUGGACAUUUAGGUUGUUUCCAUGUUUUGACUAUUGUGCAUAGUGCUGCCAUGAACAGUGGGGUGCAUGAUCUUUUCAGAUUAUGGUUUUCUCCAGGCAUGUGUCUAGGAGUGAGAUUGCUAGAUUGUAUGGUAACUAUGUAUGCGUGUGAGUUUUUUUAAUGACUCUCUCCUCCAUGGUGUGACCUGGUUUCCCACACACUCAGCUCAGUCCCAUUGCUUUUGCAGCUCUGAGAAGGCAUGGGUGUUUAUUUGGGUGCAUCCUGAGGUGCUGCAUGCUCUUGGGUCAUUAAGCUUGGUGACAGUGACCUUUAGUAAGGCGGUAAAGCAGGUCAUGCGUAACUCAGCCUUGACUCAAAGGGAUUUUAAAUUUUAUCUUAUUAAACAGCACAUUAACAAAAAGAGUCAAUUAUUUUUUGAAGGACNCUAAGAAACGAGAACAAACAAAUUUUAUCUUUACCAUUUCUUUUCAGGUGGGGAGUGCGGAGAUGUAAACUUACUGUUGUAAUGCAGUUUAAUAAGUGUUUUGAGAAGGUAGGACAGGAUGUGUAGGGACACUGGAGAGAAGUAUUCACCACAAAGACUUGGUACAUAGCAAGUGUUCAACGAAAGCUUUUUAAACUAAAUUAUGAAUGCCUGAAGUUUCCGUUGUGGCUCAGUGGGUUAGGAACCCUACAGAGUCUUUGUGAGGAUGUGGGUUCGAUCCCUGACCUUGCUCAGUGGGUUAAGGAUCUGUAGUUGCUACAAGCUGCAGCGUGGUUCGCAGAUGCAGCUUGGAUCUGGUGUUGCUGUGGCUGUGGCACAAACCAGCAGCUGUAGCCUGGGAAUUUCCAUAUGCUACAGGUGCGGCCGUAAAAAAGAAAAAAAAUCACGAAUGCCUUACUUUGUUCUACAAGAUUUCAAAAUUACUUCAUUAGCUUAUUCAUGUAACAAAUAUUUACUCGGUACCUACUAUGUGAUAAGCUCUGUUCUGAAAAUAUGGAAAACAGCUUCAAACAAGAGAGCCCCAAAUAAUUCUUAAGCAAAUUCAUAAAUGUAAAAUACCUUAUUAAUACAUUUGUUUCAUAGACAUUUGUUAAAUGCCUACUAACAAUUUCAGGCACAGUUCUAAAAAUAUUACAUAUUCUCUAAGGCAAUUGGUAAAAAUUAUCUAGCACUGAUAUUAUUUGGGAAGAGAAUUUUAGGCACACAAUUUUAAUAAAUCUGGUAGAUUUUAGAUAAGUGAAUAUGAGGCAGACUGCCCUGGGGGAAUCUUUCAAGGAGAUGAUCAGAAGCCCCUUCCAUAAUCCUUGUAUUCUGUCUACUUUGAAAAUAUAAAAGGUUUUAGAGGCGCUCCCAUUGUGAUGCAGCAGGUUAAGAACACAACUAGUGUCCAUGAAGAUGCAGGUCUGAUCCCUGGCCUUGCUCAGAGGGUUAAGUAUCAGGCGUUGCUGCAAGCUGCAGUGUAGGUGGCAGAUGUGGCUCGGGUCUGGUGUUGCUGUUGCUGUGGUGUAGGCUGGCAGCUGCAGCUCCAAUUGGACCCCUAGCCUGGAAACUUCCAUAUGUAGCAGGUGGGGCCCUAAAAAGAAAAAAAAGGUUUAUGGAAAUGGAGAGAAAGAAUGAUGGGUGGUUGUCUUUGCGGUGAGUUUCUCAGUGUGAAUGCCAGUCCUUUCCCCUGCUGAGAGUGAAGGGUUCAGGGUGCUGCAUCUUUCUCAUGCUUGGAGGGCUUUAAUGGGACUACUUAUAAAAUUUCAGCUCUGCUCCCCAAAGUUGGGGAACACCAAGAACUGACAUGUGCUAACACCUCAGAAAAGCUAUAGCAACUGAAUAAAUCCAGUAUUGCGUGUCUUGGGCAUAACAGUUCUAAAGAAUUUUAUUUUAUGUAUCAGAAUAAAAUAUGUGUAUGUCUAUUCAGAAUAUGUAUCAGAAUAGUGUACAAUGCCAUGUAAUGCAAAAAGAAGAAUCUACAUAAAUAAUGCAGCCAACCAUCCAAGCAUUAUACCAGCUAAAACAAUAAAAAACCUUAACAGUGAGAAAAAAACCUCUGCAGCAUGUGGAACUUUCCCAGCCAGCAUUGAACCCACACCACAGCAGCAACCUAAGCUGCUGCAGUGACAAUGCGGUAUUCUUGACCUGCUGAGGCACAAAGGAACUACUUUUUUGGGGGGAGGGGCUUGGGAGGUAACCAAAUGGAAGAAGAACUAGAAGAACAUGUUUCAUGGACCCGAUAGCGACAAGGCCAGCCGGGAGCCCUUUCACAUCUUGCCCAGGGGGGCUGCCUGGGAGCGCCUUUAGGCUCAAAUACCAUGACAGGGGUGAUGCUCAUGCCCAAGAAAGCUAGGGCGGGAGGAGGCAGCCAGUUGAAGAAGAGGAAUUGUCCAUGUCACAGCAGUUUCGUUGGAGGGUCCAUCAGAGGAGCUCCCAAACGACUUUCAAAGCACCCGCAGGGAAGGUUGCUGCCAUGCAUUUGCCGGGUGCAGAGAGCAUGAAGACAUUCACACCCACAGAACUCCCCUCCUCCUCCUCUUCUCCUUUGCAGCCCAUUCCCUUUGACUUCUAUGAGGUGUGGAGCAGCAGUAGCGAGUAGGAGAAAAAAGGCAAGAUAAAGAGGAUAGAAGCCAAAUAUACCAAGGACAGCUGCCCACUUCGCCUUUAGCAGGGGUGAGGAUGGGAGACGGAAUCCAGCCUUGGAUGAAGAGUGACAUGAAAAUAGUGCUUUGGGAAGACAGUCACUGAAUUGAGAUUGUGUUUACUGACUUAAUAAGGUAGAACUCUGAGUGAAAUGAAAGGUCAUUGUUCCAGACAUUGUUUCAUUUUCCUACUCUGAAAAUAUUUGAAGAAAGUCUUAAGAGGCAAAACAAAACAAAACAAAAAAAA
rnacentral:lncRNA from 1 species